rnacentral:lncRNA from 1 species
GUUAAAACACAAAAAAUACGAUUAAAAUGCGAAUGGUAAAUAGCCACGUUUGGUAACCACCCCCGCGAAAAAAGGUUUGAUUAGACAUCUUCGGCCUCCUGUAUCUUUUCAUGGCGGUUGACCCCCGACCCUUUCCCGUAUCGAAUUACGGGGCGGAGGUGAUGGAUGGUUUCCAGUGACGUCACCGUUCGACAUCUUCCGAGUCGAACUUAUAUCGGUGGUAGAUCAUUGGAAUUAUGUCUCCGGCAGCUUGGCACCACCAAAUUAGAUACGAAAGAAGUAAGAGCAGAAGUACGAGUAAGAGUAAAAAAAAAGAAAAAGAAAGAAAACGAAAAGAUACCGGCGGAAUUCGAGUUCGAGCUAGGAGGCUCAAGGAUGGCCAACGCGUUACGUGGGAGUACCAUACUGUUACAUUAACCAGGGUGGCCGGUUACGGGUUUGGUA